rnacentral:rRNA from 1 species
UUGAACGCUGGCGGCAUGCCUUACACAUGCAAGUCGAACGGCAGCACGGGAGCAAUCCUGGUGGCGAGUGGCGAACGGGUGAGUAAUAUAUCGGAACGUGCCCAGUCGUGGGGGAUAACGUAGCGAAAGCUACGCUAAUACCGCAUACGAUCUAUGGAUGAAAGCGGGGGAUCGCAAGACCUCGCGCGAUUGGAGCGGCCGAUAUCAGAUUAGGUAGUUGGUGAGGUAAAGGCUCACCAAGCCGACGAUCUGUAGCUGGUCUGAGAGGACGACCAGCCACACUGGGACUGAGACACGGCCCAGACUCCUACGGGAGGCAGCAGUGGGGAAUUUUGGACAAUGGGCGCAAGCCUGAUCCAGCAAUGCCGCGUGCAGGAUGAAGGCCUUCGGGUUGUAAACUGCUUUUGUACGGAACGAAACGGUGAGCUCUAAUACAGCUUGCUAAUGACGGUACCUGAAGAAUAAGCACCGGCUAACUACGUG